CUCUUGGUGUCCCUGGUUGGUUGUUGUCUUUCAUCCUUGAAGAAUCCCCAAAUGCCACCACCAUAUUGGUGCCAAUUUACAGUACAUACAAAUGUGGCUGAUCUGACCACACAAGCUCUGAAGCCUCUACCACAAGUCAGGUACAAAUGGCACAUAUGAGUAUUUGGAGUGAUGUCUAAAGCUGUACAUCUCAUGAUUCUUUUGAGUUCCUGCAAUUCAGCUUUGCUCUUAGAAUGCAGCUCCUUAUUUGAUGUAGCUCCAUCAUGCUGGAUGGGCCUGUGCCAGUGUCUUCUAUGUCUCACAAUCAAUACCCAAGUUUUUCAGAGAGACCUUGAGAAUGUCCUUGUCUCACAUCUGACUUGCGUGUGGGCUUGCCUUAGGUGAGUUCUCUAUAAAAAAUAUUUUAGCCAAACACGCAUUGACAUUCAAACAGCUUAGCCAGCCCAUUCUAAUUGUACUUUGUGCAGUAGAGUCUGAAUUUUGGCAGUUUAAUUCAUUUGAGAAAGGAUCUCAGCAUACCUUAUCUUGCCAAGUGACCUUUAGAAUCUUCCUAAAACCAUUCCAAUAGAAGUGAUUGAGUUUCCUGGCAUGGCUCGAGCAUACUGUCCAUACUCCAUGGGCAUGCACACAACAGUGACAUCAGCGCAACGGCUCCGUUAGACCUUCAGUAUGGUAGGCAGCCUGAUACCUCUUCUCUCCCACACGUUCCUUCAGAGCCUCCCAAACCCUGAGCUAGCCUUGGCAAAGUAUACAUCAACCUCGUCAUGUGUGUGUACAUGCUUGCAAAAUACAUUGCCAAGAUUCUUCUGUCUUCUUGUACUGGAACAUAUGUGCGUGUGUAAGAUUUGUGUCCAAUCAGGUCACCACCCACAAGUAAAUUGUGUAGGAACUGGAGACGGCUCCUACAUUUGGCAUACAACAUGGUUAAAAUCACCUGAGGAGAUGGUGUUGGGGUUCAAGAUUGGAGAUGGAUCAGCAGACCUGGACUUGGCCAGUUGGAUAUCAGAAGUCCAUGGAAGAAAACCAAAGUCUUCAAGCAUUUCCAAAGAAAGCCAGCCCAGAGAGAGGAGAGAGCAGAUGUCUGGCUAG
rnacentral:lncRNA from 1 species